rnacentral:rRNA from 1 species
GACAGAGGUGCCAAGCGUUAGGCGGAAUCACUGGGCUUAAAGCGUGUGUAGGCGGAUUCCUAAGUACCUUGUGAAAUCCCUCGGCUUAACCGAGGAACUGCGCCCAAAACUGCUGUGCUCGAGGGAGAUAGAGGUGAGCGGAACUUAGGGUGGAGCGGUGAAAUGCGUUGAUAUCCUAAGGAACACCGGUGGCGAAAGCGGCUCACUGGAUCUCUUCUGACGCUGAGGCACGAAAGCUAGGGUAGCGAACGGG